UUUUCUUCUUCUUUUUCUUUGUUUCACGAAUCGUCGUUAUCUCGUAACGUUUCGAAGGAAGACACGUUCCGCGCGAAUAUACGAUGCGAGAAACACAUACCAAAGAGCAAAAGAGAUGACGAAUAAGUGGAGAAGGUUUGCGGUGGAUCCGGCUAUGCGCGACGAUGAGGUAAUCUUUGCCACACGAGUCGGAGUUAUCUAGUCAGUUCGAACCAACGAACGAACGAACGAACGAACGAACGAACGAACGAACGAACGAACGUAGGAAAGCUAGGUUCGCGCUGAUAUUUCAUUUGGUAAAUAUUCCUAAAGAAAAUCAGCCAUCAUUUUACAAGAGAAAACGAUCGACGGAAGGACGUUCGAUCGAAAGGAGAUAAGAUUUUUUUAACAAUGAAAUCUCGUGCUAUUUUGAUUCUCAAAUAAAAAAAGAAAGGAAAGAAAAAGAACAGAAAAAAAAGAGACGAAGAAGAUGAUGAUAGAAAAAGAAAGUCUACUCGUUAGGCUAUGUAACUACGUAGCACGUAGAUUGAUUCGACGACGAUUCCCUAGAAUCGAAUAAAAAGCUGAAAGAUUCGAGCCGAACGAUCGACGGCGCAAAGUGGAAAGAACGUAGAAAGAGAAGGAGAGAAGUGGAGAAGACUCGAGUUGGAUCCGGCUAUGCGCGAUGAUGAGAGAAUCAUCGCGAUCCUGUACGUCGAGCAUACGAACGACUUGAGCGGUGUAAAGUCCGCGGCAGAUUAGCGACGUGCUAUCUAACAACGAGCGUCGGAUAAGAUUGCCAGGGCGUUCGUUUGUAAGUACGAACUGACUUCAAGGACUUGCGACGACACGCGCGGCCGAGCGCGAGCACAGUGUCUCUCUUUCUGUCUCUCUUUCUCUUUUCCUCACUGUCAGAGUAUGUUCUUUACGAAGCAUGAUGCGCAAUGAUUCUUGAGAUCAUCUUGGAAUCUAGUUUACCAAUCUUACGAUAUUGCUGUAUGAUUUAUAAAUGGAAGA